rnacentral:lncRNA from 1 species
CGAGCAUUCUAGCAGUGUACACUUUUGUCUGGACCCUCAUGAUAGCGUAUACUCUCAUCUUAGCACGCAGAGGAGCGUGCACUCCUGAUUAAGCCUACUGACAAGCAUACACUCACGGUUAGGGCCACACUCUGAUGAUCAACAUGGACAACCUUCCAGGCGAAGUGUUCAUUCAUAGCUAGGCCUGUAAAGGGCAUCUUUCACCCCAUAU